UACGAAGGGGGCUAGCGUUGCUCGGAAUUACUGGGCGUAAAGCGCACGUAGGCGGCUUUCUAAGUCGGGGGUGAAAUCCUGGAGCUCAACUCCAGAACUGCCUUCGAUACUGGAAAGCUCGAGUCCGGGAGAGGUGAGUGGAACUGCGAGUGUAGAGGUGAAAUUCGUAGAUAUUCGGAGGAACACCAGUGGCGAAGGCGGCUCACUGGUCCAUUACUGACGCUGAGGUGCGAAAGCGUGGGGA
rnacentral:rRNA from 1 species